rnacentral:rRNA from 1 species
CCUACGGGAGGCAGCAGUGGGGAAUAUUGCACAAUGGGGGAAACCCUGAUGCAGCGACGCCGCGUGAGUGAAGAAGUCAUUCGUUAUGUAAAGCUCUAUCAGCAGGGAAGAAAAUGACGGUACCUGAGUAAGAAUCCCCGGCUAACUACGUGCCAGCAGCCGCGGUACUACGGAGGGGGCAAGCGUUAUCCGGAUUUACUGGGUGUAAAGGGAGCGUAGACGGCAGUGCAAGUCUGGAGUGAAAGGCGGGGGCUCAACCCCCGGACUGCUCUGGAAACUGUACGGCUGGAGUGCAGGAGAGGUAAGUGGAAUUCGUGGUGUAGCGGUGAAAUGCGUAGAUAUUAGGAGGAACACCAGUGGCGAAGGCGGCUUACUGGACUGUAACUGACGUUGAGGCUCGAAAGCGUGGGGAGCAAACAGGAUUAGAUACCCGUGUAGCC